AGAAAUAUAUAAAAAUUAAGCUUCUAACUUAAAUUAUAGUAGAUAAUAUCUAUUAAUAUUUCUA
rnacentral:tRNA from 1 species